UACAGAGGUCUCAAGCGUUGUUCGGAUUUACUGGGCGUAAAGGGCGCGUAGGCGGCGUAACAAGUCACUUGUGAAAUCUCCGGGCUUAACCCGGAGCGGCCAAGUGAUACUGUUGUGCUAGAGUGCGGAAGGGGCUACUGGAAUUCUCGGUGUAGCGGUGAAAUGCGUAGAUAUCGAGAGGAACACCUGCGGCGAAGGCGGGUAGCUGGGCCGACACUGACGCUGAGGCGCGAAAGCGUGGGGAGCAAACAGG
rnacentral:rRNA from 1 species